CCUCCCUGGACCCAAGAAUGGACACAUCGAAAGGAACAUCCACGAUACCGGAACACGUCCUCAGGGGAAUGAGGACCCUCCUCUUGAACCACCAACUUGCAGACUCCUGGCGCAUCCUCCACCAUGCAGAAAGAGACUACACCUACUACUCGACACCACAUAGAUCCUACUCGAGGAUAGAUUACUUCUUCACCCAACACAGAGACCUAGACACGCUGAUAGCUGCUCGCAUAGCGCCCAUGACCUGGUGGGAUCACGCACCAGUGAUCCUUACCGAAAACCCCAAGCCCUUCAUUUUG